UUGAUAAAAGAACGAAAAAAACUGUCACAUGACAACCAUCAUGAAUUAAACAUUAGAUCGUAAAUUAUAUACAAGAGAUAGAGCACCACGUGGCUAAAUGUUGUUUGUUUACGAUUGGUGAAUGAGGUUCAUUUAUAUUUUUAAACCUGAUUUAAUGUUGUAGUCUGAACGAUACAAAGCCGCAUGCAAAGCUUAAAAUAUAUUGGAUAAUUUUAUAAAAUGUAUCCACUCACCUAUUUUAUUUCAACAAAUUAAAAUAUAAAACAUUUAAAACAUCAACAUUAUUGAAUACACAUAAGGU